GCUUUUGUUAGUCGUUCAAACAAAAAACCUAUACAUACUUGGGUGAUCUUUCUGAUACACAGGCAGCCUUGAUGAAAAAGGUUGGAUACUUGGCUGGAUGUUUUAUUGGAUUGUGAUGCCUGUUGAACCAUGAUGGUUAUAUUGUGAACUUUUACUGGUUUCUAUCAAUCUUAUGUUUAUCAUUUUGCAGACAAUGAGGUUUGUAAGAUCCUUACCGGUAGGACCCAUUAUUGCUAAUGCUUUGGUAUGAACAUGCCCCUGUUACUACUUGUUGCUCUCAUUGGGGCCACAGUUGGAGGUGAAAUUUACUUACUUUGCACACGUGACACAAUUCUGACUUUGUUUACCUACAUAAUGGAUUGAUUGAUUUGGGUUAUAUUUAACUUCUAAUUUUAAAACAUUUAACUAUUUAAAUGGGUCGGAAGUCAUGUGAAGUGCUUUGAAUUGCAUAAAAAAUCUUAACUUGCUUUACUGAAAUGAAGUUCAAUUGUAUAUUAGUGUCUGAAAUCAUAAUCAAAACAUAAGUUAUCUAUAAAUUACGGAAAAGCUGGAUAAAAAAGGCUGCAAGAGGAUUAGGACAAUCAAUGCAGAGGCAGGGCAAGUAUAAAGAAGCCAUUAAAUACCAUUCAAUGGUGCUAUCAAUCUCAGAAAGAGAAGGAGAAGACUCGAAAACACCGAACCCGACACCACCCGUUCAACCCCAACCGAUCCCGACGCAACCCGUUCAACAAUCCGAACCCGACGACGAUGUGGAGGUUGUUCCCGAAACCCAACCGCCUAAAGAAAAA